rnacentral:rRNA from 1 species
UAGUCAAGAUGAGAAUUCUAAGGUGAGCGAGCGAACUCUCGUUAAGGAACUCGGCAAAAUGACCCCGUAACUUCGGGAGAAGGGGUGCUCUUUAGGGUUAACGCCCAGAAGAGCCGCAGUGAAUAGGCCCAAGCGACUGUUUAUCAAAAACACAGGUCUCUGCUAAACCGUAAGGUGAUGUAUAGGGGCUGACGCCUGCCCGGUGCUGGAAGGUUAAGAGGAGUGGUUAGCUUCUGCGAAGCUACGAAUCGAAGCCCCAGUAAACGGCGGCCGUAACUAUAACGGUCCUAAGGUAGCGAAAUUCCUUGUCGGGUAAGUUCCGACCCGCACGAAAGGCGUAACGAUUUGGGCACUGUCUCAACGAGAGACUCGGUGAAAUCAUAGUACCUGUGAAGAUGCAGGUUACCCGCGACAGGACGGAAAGACCCCGUGGAGCUUUACUGUAGCCUGAUAUUGAAAUUCGGCACAGCUUGUACAGGAUAGGUAGGAGCCUUUGAAACGUGAGCGCUAGCUUACGUGGAGGCGCUGGUGGGAUACUACCCUAGCUGUGUUGGCUUUCUAACCCGCACCACUUAUCGUGGUGGGAGACAGUGUCAGGCGGGCAGUUUGACUGGGGCGGUCGCCUCCUAAAAGGUAACGGAGGCGCUCAAAGGUUCCCUCAGAAUGGUUGGAAAUCAUUCAUAGAGUGUAAAGGCAUAAGGGAGCUUGACUGCGAGACCUACAAGUCGAGCAGGGUCGAAAGACGGACUUAGUGAUCCGGUGGUUCCGCAUGGAAGGGCCAUCGCUCAACGGAUAAAAGCUACCCCGGGGAUAACAGGCUUAUCUCCCCCAAGAGUUCACAUCGACGGGGAGGUUUGGCACCUCGAUGUCGGCUCAUCGCAUCCUGGGGCUGUAGUCGGUCCCAAGGGUUGGGCUGUUCGCCCAUUAAAGCGGUACGCGAGCUGGGUUCAGAACGUCGUGAGACAGUUCGGUCCCUAUCCGUCGUGGGCGUAGGAAAUUUGAGAGGAGCUGUCCUUAGUACGAGAGGACCGGGAUGGACAUACCUCUGGUGUACCAGUUGUCGUGCCAACGGCAUAGCUGGGUAGCUAUGUGUGGACGGGAUAAGUGCUGAAAGCAUCUAAGCAUGAAGCCCCCCUCAAGAUGAGAUUUCCCAACUUCGGUUAUAAGAUCCCUCAAAGAUGAUGAGGUUAAUAGGUUCGAGGUGGAAGCAUGGUGACAUGUGGAGCUGACGAAUACUAAUCGAUCGAAGACUUAAUCAA